rnacentral:rRNA from 1 species
UACACUCUGCGGGAGGCAGCAGUGAGGAAUAUUGGACAAUGGGUGGAAGCCUGAUCCAGCCAUCCCGCGUGCAGGAAGACGGCCCUAUGGGUUGUAAACUGCUUUUAUCUGGGGAUAAACCUACUUACGUGUAAGUAGCUGAAGGUACCAGAAGAAUAAGCACCGGCUAACUCCGUGCCAGCAGCCGCGGUAAUACGGAGGGUGCAAGCGUUAUCCGGAUUUAUUGGGUUUAAAGGGUCCGUAGGCGGACUGAUAAGUCAGUGGUGAAAUCCGACAGCUUAACUGUCGAACUGCCAUUGAUACUGUUAGUCUUGAGUAAGGUUGAAGUGGCUGGAAUAAGUAGUGUAGCGGUGAAAUGCAUAGAUAUUACUUAGAACACCAAUUGCGAAGGCAGGUCACUAAGUCUUAACUGACGCUGAUGGACGAAAGCGUGGGGAGCGAACAGGAUUAGAAACCCCAGUAGUCCCAU